CAGCAGCCGCGGUAAUACGAAGGGUGCAAGCGUUAAUCGGAAUUACUGGGCGUAAAGCGUGCGUAGGCGGUUUGUUAAGUCUGUUGUGAAAUCCCCGGGCUCAACCUUGGAAUGGCAAUGGAUACUGGCAAGCUAGAGUGUGUCAGAGGAUGGUGGAAUUCCCGGUGUAGCGGUGAAAUGCGUAGAGAUCGGAAGGAACAUCAGUGGCGAAGGCGGCCAUCUGGGACAACACUGACGCUGAGGCACGAAAGCGUGGGGAGCAAACAGGAUUAGAUACCCCAGUAGUCCCUGUCUCUUAUAC
rnacentral:rRNA from 1 species